rnacentral:lncRNA from 1 species
GGGAUCCACAAGACGAAUAAUUAAGGGGGACCUCUGAUCAACAGCCAGCAAGGAACUGAAUCCCUCAGACCCACAACUCACAAGAAACUGAAGCUGAAGCAGAUUCUUCCUCAGUCAAGCUUCAGGACCUGCUUUGCAGAAAGGAUCUCAUUGAGAAUAGCAAAAGGAAGUUGGGAACCAUUACAGUGCCCAGCUGUAUUGGUAGAGGAGACCAACCACACCCUCCACAGCACAGCACCUGGAGAGGAACUGCUGCCAUGACCAUAGAGGACACCCUCUGGAUACAAUGCCAGACUUGAUGUGGGACUGACCAACCUAUGGACCCCAGGCACCACCACCCAGACCUGCUCAGCACCUGAAACAUUCACAGCCGUGGAGAGAGAACUGUUCACUGCUACCAUCCACACUUCUGGGCCCCUUCAGCAGCAGGGUGACAAGGAAGAGGGAAAUCGACUUGGAAAAGAGGGGACCUCUGACCCAAGAGUUCGGUCAAUGCAUAUGUUGGCAGCCAGCUGCACAUCGCACCAAAUAUGAACUUCAAAUAGAAGAAAGCCUCAUUUGGAAGAAAGCUCAUGCACAGACUGUAAAUAUUUCAGAGCAGAUUGUGUCUCUGUAGAUUAAGUAAGUUGUGAAAGUCUGAACCUCUGCCAAAAUUUUAAGACCUUGACCUUUACAUCUCUGAGUUUCUAUCUGUCAUUUUUCCUUUCUAUCUGUCAUUUUACCUUUCAUACUUAUAAAAUGG